UAUAAUAAUUUGGCUUACCGCGGUCCGCUCCCAGCAAGUUCGUAAUGAGCCCCGUUUCUCCUACACUAUAGUCUGCUCGGUGGGCGACAUACUUCAUCAACGGCUACAAAAAACUCCAAGAAAUGCAAUACUUGCCAGAGCUAGUAGACAAGCUGCUGCUCGCAAUUCCUAAUGGUCCUGCGACUGCACUCGGACCAUCGGCUUUCGGAUUACUGUUCGCAUUGCCGCUGAUCGAUUUCACCAACGCAUGCAGCUUUGUUGGAUCUGUAAAGCAUAAACAAUGAUCUAGUAUAAUCAUUUGGCUAACCAUCUUUGUGCAACUAGAACUUGCUGGGAGCGGGCUGCGGAAGCGCAUCGCGCUGUGUUGCUGACAAUACGCUCGACUGCCCGCGCGUACGUUGCUAAAAAUGAAU
rnacentral:lncRNA from 1 species